ACGGCCAUCGUGCCCGUGAUAAGGUCCCGAGGUGCGUGUUUCCGUCUAUCACACCGACUCCGAUGGCUCGAUGUGCUCUGUCUGGAUGCUCGGUGCCGACUGCCGGCCACAGAGAGCUCGGGCGGGCGGCUCUCCCACGCGCCAACCAAUCAGGACGCCGUAUUCACCGCCGAAGCUUCCCUCGUAGUCGCGGUACCUCACCCCCCGCGAGGCCGAGGCCGGCCAGUCAUGGCAGGCAAGGCGGUGAUACGACUGUUCCCGAGCCACAACGAGCGAACCCGAACUCUUAGCCUUGUCUUCGUCAGCGAUACGUUUUCUUCGUCGUAGAAAGUACACCGCCAGUGCUACCGCCACCGCCAUCGCCACCGCCACCGUCACCGUCGCCGCCACCGUCGUCGCCGUCGCCACUGUCAACGCUAUCGCCACCACCGUCGCCACUGUCAACGCUAUUGCCACCACCGUUGCCGCCGCUGUCACUGUCGCCGCCGCCACCGCCACCGUCGACGCUGUUGCCAAUAUGAACGCUAUCGGUGCUACCACCAUCGCUAUCAACAUAAUCUCCGCUACACCACCACUCUAAACCCCGCCAAAAAUCCGACGCUACAACAAAAAUGGCCAACACCAUUACCAGGCGCCACUAAUUGCAGACUAGGAGCUAAACGACCCAGUGUCUGAAGAGAAUUUUUCUUACUGGUUAAAAAAGAAAGAAAUUAUAUAAGUUGUUGUAUCUUGUGUUAAAAGAUACAUAAUAAAAUGCCGAAAACUCCAGAUUAUCAUCUUAUUUACUUUUGUUGUAAAAAAAUCGAAA